UAUAACGAAACAGACCAAAACACCUACAACCCCAGUGGGUAAACAUGGUGACGUUGGCAAGAACAUGCCGACCAACACAAACGUCACUCCUCAAGCAACACCACAUACGGAAUCUUGCUCGCCGAUAUUUGAUGCGACGCCGCAAAUAAAGUCUCCCGGCGGUGUCCAACAGGCGGCAGAAACAGAUCUCCCC